GUAGGUGAACCUGCGGAAGGAUCAUUCAUAAUAAGUGUUUUAUGGCACUUUUUAAAUCCAUAUCCACCUUGUGUGCAAUGUCAGUCGAUCUUCUUCAUGGAGAUCGGCCAAACAUCAACUUAUUUUUUAACUGUCUGUCUGAAAACUAUUAUGAAUAAACAAUUCAAAUACAACUUUCAACAACGGAUCUCUUGGCUCUC
rnacentral:misc_RNA from 1 species